AUGGUGCAAACGCCAACUGUUGUCCACAAGGGCUAUGCUAUCAACCGCAUUUGCCAGUUCUAUAUGAGCAAGGUUCUCUAUACUCGGCAGAACUUCUAUGAAAAGUUGUCCACCAUCAUUGACGAGUUCCGCCGACUGGAUGACAUCCACCCUUUCUAUGUCAAUCUCCUUCAUGUGUUGUACAAUAUGGAUCACUACAAACUUUUCAUGGGUCAGAUCAAUACGACUUUAAAUAUCAUUGGAAAGAUUUCCAAGGAUUAUCUGAGGCUGCUCAAGUAUGGAGACACCCUGUACCGGUACAAGUGCCUUAAGGUAGCUGCAUUAGGUCGCAUGUUUACUGUUCUAAAGCGCAUCAGUCCUAGUUUGGCAUACCUGGAGCAGAUCAGGCAGCACAUGGCCAGGCUUCCAUCAAUUGACCCAAACAACCGUACUAUCUUGAUUUAUUACAAAUAUCUUCGGUACCAAGUGAUUGACACUCCAGGGAUCCUUGAUCGGCCUUUUGAGGACAUGAACAUCAUACAAAUGUGCAGUAUCACCGCUCUUGCCCACUUGAGGGUUGUUGUGCUGUUCUUCUUGGAUAUCUCUGGGUCUUGUGGGUACACUAUUGCUCAGCAAGCUGCACUCUUCCAUAGUAUAAAAUCCUUGUUCAUGAAGACUAUACCUCAAGGUGGAGAUCCUAGUGAAGAGGGUGUUUUGUUGACUAUGAGUGCCUUAACAGACGAGGGUGUGAUGGCUGUUAAAAAUGCUGCAUGUGAGAGGCUUCUCGAGCAGAGAGUGGAGAUCAAGAUGAAGUCAAAGAAGAUCAAUGACUUCUUAAAUAGGUUUCAUGUUUCUAUGCCCAAGCCUCAUGACAACAGAGAUAGGCCUACUUGCAUUCAUCAGGCUGUUCUUGAAGCUCAAGCAAUUGUGGCUGCAAAGGAAAAGAAGAAGCUUGAGAGGGACCUUGAGAAUGAGAAUGGAGGUGCUGGUGUCUAUUCCGCCAGUCUCAAGAAGCAUUACUUAUUGGCCAAUGAUGAAUGGAAUGAAGAUAUUCUCCCUGAGAUAUUAGAUGGGCACAAUGUUGCCGAUUUCUUCGAUCCAGAUAUCUUGGAAAGGUGUGAAGAACUGCAAAGGGAGGAGGGUCUUUGUCUUGAAGAAGAAGCUGCUCAAGAUGCUUUCAUGAUUGAUAGCCAUGGCAAAUUAACUGAAGAACAUCGUGACAUAUUGGGUAAGAUUAGGAAGAAGGCAAUGAGUUAUCCUAUUGUUCCAAGGAAACAAGAGAAAGACAGGAAAUUCACAAUCAAGAGAUUGGGCAGGCAACUCACAUCCAUGGGUGUUGAUCCUAAUGCUGCUCGUGAGAGGUCACUGAGCAGAGCUAAUUGUGAUGACGCUAUUGACGCUGAUGGCCAACAUCCCGACAAGAAACUGCGUACAAGGUCGAGGUCUAAGUCCAAAUCCCGCCCAAUUGAAGCGGUCAAGGCCAUCAAGAAGUCAAGGGACUCUGUCAAGAACAGGAACAAGGAGGCUCUCCAUGGGGAGGCAGACCGCGUGAUCCCUACCUUGAAACCGAAGCAUCUCUUCUCUGGAAGACGAGGCAUUGGAAAGACCAGCAGGCAUUAA
rnacentral:rRNA from 1 species